GUAGGCCUUAGCUUAAUUAAAGUGUCUGAGUUGCAGUCAGAAGAUGUAAUGUUUGGUUUGCAGGUCUU
rnacentral:tRNA from 1 species